UACGGAGGGUGCAAACGUUGCUCGGAAUCAUUGGGCGUAAAGCGCACGUAGGCGGCUCGUUAAGUCUGUCGUGAAAGCCCCGGGCUCAACCUGGGAAUGGCGAUGGAUACUGGCUCGCUAGAGUGCGGUAGAGGAGAGUGGAAUUCCCGGUGUAGCAGUGAAAUGCGUAGAGAUCGGGAGGAACAUCAGUUGCGAAGGCGGCUCUCUGGGCCGUAACUGACGCUGAGGAGCGAAAGCAUGGGGAGCGAACAGG
rnacentral:rRNA from 1 species